UACGAAGGGGGCUAGCGUUGCUCGGAAUCACUGGGCGUAAAGGGCGCGUAGGCGGCCUGUUAAGUCGAACGUGAAAUCCCCGGGCUCAACCCGGGAACUGCGUCCGAUACUGGCAGGCUUGAAUUCGGGAGAGGGAUGUGGAAUUCCAGGUGUAGCGGUGAAAUGCGUAGAUAUCUGGAGGAACACCGGUGGCGAAGGCGGCAUCCUGGACCGAUAUUGACGCUGAUGCGCGAAAGCCAGGGGAGCAAAGCGGG
rnacentral:rRNA from 1 species